UACGUAGGGUGCGAGCGUUGUCCGGAAUCAUUGGGCGUAAAGCGCGCGUAGGCGGCCCGGUAAGUCCGCUGUGAAAGUCAAAGGCUCAACCUUUGAAUGUCAGCGGAUACUGCCAGGCUAGAGUCCGGAAGAGGCGAGUGGAACUCCUGGUGUAGCGGUGGAAUGCGCAGAUAUCAGGAAGAACACCAACGGCGAAGGCAGCUCGCUGGGACGGAACUGACGCUGAGGCGCGAAAGCGUGGGGAGCGAACAGG
rnacentral:rRNA from 1 species